rnacentral:tRNA from 1 species
AAAGAAUUAGUUAAAAUUAACCUUAGUAUGUCAUACUAAAAUCAUCAGUAUUAAUCUGAUAUUCUUUA